rnacentral:rRNA from 1 species
AUACGUAGGGGGCUAGCGUUAUCCGGAAUUACUGGGCGUAAAGGGUGCGUAGGUGGUUUCUUAAGUCAGAAGUGAAAGGCUACGGCUCAACCGUAGUAAGCUUUUGAAACUAAGAGACUUGAGUGCAGGAGAGGAGAGUGGAAUUCCUAGUGUAGCGGUGAAAUGCGUAGAUAUUAGGAGGAAUACCAGUUGCGAAGGCGGCUCUCUGGACUGUAACUGACACUGAGGCACGAAAGCGUGGGGAGCAAACAGGAUUAGAUACCCUGGUAGUCCACGCCGUAAACGAUGAGUACUAGCUGUCGGGGGUUACCCCCCUCGGUGGCGCAGCUAACGCAUUAAGUACUCCGCCUGGGAAGUACGCUCGCAAGAGUGAAACUCAAAUGAAUUGACGGGG